CACGUAGGGCGCGAGCGUUGUCCGGAAUUAUUGGGCGUAAAGAGCUCGUAGGCGGCCUGUUGCGUCCGCUGUGAAAGCCCGGGGCUUAACCCCGGGUCUGCAGUGGAUACGGGCAGGCUAGAGGUAGGUAGGGGAGUCUGGAAUUCCUGGUGUAGCGGUGAAAUGCGCAGAUAUCAGGAGGAACACCGGUGGCGAAGGCGGGACUCUGGGCCGAUACUGACGCUGAGGAGCGAAAGCGUGGGGAGCAAACAGG
rnacentral:rRNA from 1 species